CUCGAGUUUCUAGGGAGAUCUGACGGUACCUAAGGAUAAGCACCGGCUAACUCCGUGCCAGCAGCCGCAGGUAAUACGGAGGGUGCAAGCGUUACUCGGAAUCACUGGGCGUAAAGGGCGCGUAGGCGGAUUAUCAAGUCUCUUGUGAAAUCUAAUGGCUUAACCAUUAAACUGCUUGGGAAACUGAUAGUCUAGAGUGAGGGAGAGGCAGAUGGAAUUGGUGGUGUAGGGGUAAAAUCCGUAGAUAUCACCAAGAAUACCCAUUGCGAAGGCGAUCUGCUGGAACUCAACUGACGCUAAGGCGCGAAAGCGUGGGGAGCAAACAGGAUUAGAUACCCUGGUAGUCCACGCCCUAAACGAUGUACACUAGUUGUUGGGGUGCUAGUCAUCUCAGUAAUGCAGCUAACGCAUUAAGUGUACCGCCUGGGGAGUACGGUCGCAAGAUUAAAACUCAAAGGAAUAGACGGGGACCCGCACAAGCGGUGGAGCAUGUGGUUUAAUUCGAAGAUACGCGAAGAACCUUACCUGGGCUUGAUAUCCUAAGAACCUUUCAGAGAUAAGAGGGUGCUAGCUUGCUAGAACUUAGAGACAGGUGCUGCACGGCUGUCGUCAGCUCGUGUCGUGAGAUGUUGGGUUAAGUCCCGCAACGAGCGCAACCCACGUAUUUAGUUGCUAACGGUUCGGCCGAGCACUCUAAAUGGACUGCCUUCGUAAGGAGGAGGAAGGUGUGGACAACGUCAAGUCAUCACGGCCCUAAUGCCCUGGGCGACCAGGGAAAAAAAAAAGAGAAAAAA
rnacentral:rRNA from 1 species